rnacentral:rRNA from 1 species
GAUGAACGCUGGCGGCGUGCCUAAUACAUGCAAGUCGAGCGAACGGACGAGAAGAUUGCUUCUCUGAUGUUAGCGGCGGACGGGUGAGUAACACGUGGAUAACCUACCUAUAAGACUGGGAUAACUUCGGGAAACCGGAGCUAAUACCGGAUAAUAUUUUGAACCGCAUGGUUCAAAAGUGAAAGACGGUCUUGCUGUCACUUAUAGAUGGAUCCGCGCUGCAUUAGCUAGUUGGUAAGGUAACGGCUUACCAAGGCAACGAUGCAUAGCCGACCUGAGAGGGUGAUCGGCCACACUGGAACUGAGACACGGUCCAGACUCCUACGGGAGGCAGCAGUAGGGAAUCUUCCGCAAAGGGCGAAAGCCUGACGGAGCAACGCCGCGUGAGUGAUGAAGGUCUUCGGAUCGUAAAACUCUGUUAUUAGGGAAGAACAUAUGUGUAAGUAACUGUGCACAUCUUGACGGUACCUAAUCAGAAAGCCACGGCUAACUACGUG